CCAAUAGCGUAUAUUAAAGUUGUUGCAGUUAAAAAGCUCGUAGUUGAAUUUCGGGGUCAGUAGGCUGGUCGUGCCACUGGUAUGUACUGGUCUCACUGAUUCCUCCUUCUUGAAGAACCGUAAUGUCAUUAACUUGGUGUUGCGGGGAAACAGGACUGUUACUUUGAAAAAAUUAGAGUGUUUAAAGCAGGCCGUUGCCUGAAUACAUUAGCAUGGAAUAAUGAAAUAGGACGUUCGAUCCUAUUUUGUUGGUUUCUAGGAUUGACGUAAUGAUUAAUAGGGAUAGUUGGGGGCAUUAGUAUUCAAUUGUCAGAGGUGAAAUUCUUGGAUUUAUUGAAGACUAACUACUGCGAAAGCAUUUGCCAAGGAUGUUUUCAUUAAUCAAGAACGAAAGUUAGGGGAUCGAAGACGAUCAGAUACCGUCGUAGUCUUAACCAUAAACUAUGCCGAUUAGGGAUCGGAUGAUGUUAAUUUUUUAAUGACUCAUUCGGCGCCUUACG
rnacentral:rRNA from 1 species